rnacentral:rRNA from 1 species
ACAGCAGUAGCCGCGGUAACACGGAGGAUCCAAGCGUUAUCCGGAAUCAUUGGGUUUAAAGGGUCCGUAGGCGGUCUUGUAAGUCAGUGGUGAAAGCCCAUCGCUCAACGGUGGAACGGCCAUUGAUACUGCAGGACUUGAAUUAUUGGGAAGUAACUAGAAUAUGUAGUGUAGCGGUGAAAUGCUUAGAGAUUACAUGGAAUACCAAUUGCGAAGGCAGGUUACUACCAAUUGAUUGACGCUGAUGGACGAAAGCGUGGGUAGCGAACAGGAUUAGAUACCCCUGUAGUCCCUGUCUCUUAUAC